UACAGUGGCGUACGGGUGAGUAACACGUGGAUCAUCUACCUCUUGGUGGGGAAUAACCCUGGGAAACCGGGGCUAAUACCGCAUAAGCCUGCAAAGGGAAAGCAGCAAUGCGCCGAGAGAGGAGUCCGCGGCCGAUUAGCUUGUUGGUAGGGUAAUGGCCUACCAAGGCAAUGAUCGGUAGCCGGCCUGAGAGGGCACACGGCCACACUGGCACUGAAACACGGGCCAG
rnacentral:rRNA from 1 species